CCUGCCCCCUGAGUUAAAUAUUAAAGGGCCGCAGUAUUAAUUGGGCAGGGGUAGCAUAAUAAUUAGUUUUUUAAUUGAAAACUAGAAUGAAUGGUUGGACGAAAUAUAUAUUAUUUUAAAUUUAUUAUAUAAAAUUUAUUUUUUUAGUUAAAAAUCUAAAAUAUAUUAAAAAGACGAGAAGACCCUAUAGAUUUUUAUAUAAAUUAAACUAUAAAAUUUUAAUUUAUAUUAAAUUGGGGUGAUUAAAAAAUUUAAAUAACUUUUUUAAAAUUAAACAUAAAUUUAUGAAUAAUAUAAAUAUAAUGAUCUAAUUUAUAAUGAUUAAAUAAAGAUAAAAAUACCUUAGGGAUAACAGCGUAAUUUUAAUUUUUAGUUCUUAUAAAAAUUAAAGAUUGCGACCUCGAUGUUGAAUUAAAAUAAAUUUUUAAUGCAGUAGUUAAA
rnacentral:rRNA from 1 species